AGCGCGGCUGUGACGACAACGCCAACGAUAGAUUGUGUCUAGAUGGAGCUAAAACUUGCGAGAGGAAGACUAAAGAGACGAACCUGGAGUCAUGUGUUGGAAUAUGCUGUAGCAGCGAUAAUUGCAACAACUACACUCCCAACAGUGCCCCAGGUGUCAUGGCCGUGAAAUUUAUUCUCUGUUUCAUGGUCAUUGCGGGAUAUUUCUUAGCAUAACUGUCUGAAUUCUUGUUGUAUUUGAAUAACAUUAACUUUAGUUUAGUGCUGCUCAACAGCUAGCGUAGUACAAUAAUAUACGGCAUGUAACUAAACAUAUAGUUGUAGCUCGCACAAGGAAUAGUUUUCCUUUCUUAAUCGGUUACCUGCAUUAAGUUUCACUGUAUCUUGUAAUACUUUAUUUUGGUUCGUUAGGAGCAACUCAUUUUAACUUAAUUUUGUAAAACUGUUAGUUUCGUUUUUGAACGUUUCAUAGUAGUAUUAUAGUUUCCACAAAAAAAUAGCUCCUAUUCGUCUUCACUUCAGUUGCAUUUUGUAAAUCUUUAGUUCAGUUCAAAUUUUUACUCUCCCCCCUCCCUGUAUCAUGCCCUCCGGCAAAAUGUGGGAUUUCACAAAGCAUUACCUAUAAAACGAAAGUCCUAAGCUGUUCAACACUGUAGAGGGGGGACGGUAUUUGCUAUUUGUAGAAAAGCUUCUCUAGGGAGAACAGUUUAGAACUGAGUAGAGAGCUAGGCAGUAUAAAUAAAAUUUGUUUAGUUUGGCAUUCCAUUUUCCAAG